rnacentral:misc_RNA from 1 species
UAUUGCAAUUGAGCAUCAGAAUUCAAAGCGAGAUGAUGAAGUUUGUGAGAAUUCAACCCGGCAAAACAAUAGUGAUCUUGAGAAUAAUUGUGUUGUGUUUCCUGGAUUCUUGGCCAGUAGUUCUGCAGAAAUGCAGUUGUCAGAAGCUGGAAAUUACCACAAAGACACAUCAUGUUCGCCUAAUAAAAAUGGUGAACUCUUGGACCUAGAUGAUUCAAAGC